UCAACAAGCCCUAAAACCAUCAAUAACUUCAUCCAACAACAAUUUAACUCAUCGGGGGAGAUUGGAUACUUUGCAAGAAUUCUCCAUCAUCAAAAAGCCCUUUAUUAUCUGUCUUUUCCCCCAAAUUCUCCAUCAUCAACAAUUCUCCCACCCGGUUUCGUCUCCGGUGAGACUCAGUGGCAGCAGAGAACAACAGCAGCAACAACGCCGCCACCACGGCGGCGAUGGCGGCGACCAGAUGGAGAAACGACACGGAGAGAAAAAAAGAGUGAGCUGGUGAUGACGACCAUUCAAGGACCGGUGUUUUUCAGUCACUGUGAGAAGUUUUAUCGUCAUCAUCAACACGGUCGUUGUCGUCAUCAUCAACUUAACAAUGUUUUUUUCUUGUAAGUGGUGGUUUGGGUACAUAUAUUACUACUGAACUUCUAUUGGGUGUUUGAUGUUUUUCGUUUGACAUGUGGAUUUGUUCUUUAAUGUUGGUUGUUUCAUAUGCAUACAAACACAUGAACAUAUCUAUGAUCUGUUGAUACAUAAUGCAUAAGAAUUC
rnacentral:lncRNA from 1 species